AAAGAAGACGAAGAAGAUUCGAUGGGCUACCUGUGUGGACACACCUGCAAAUUGCACCCUGCAUUGAGAUGUUGUAGGAAAAACAAACACACACCAACAUGAUACAGCUCAGUGGGUCUAUUCUGGGUGCAGAAAAUGAGUGCUGCCUUUUCAACAAAGCUCCUCCCCAAAGCUGCAGUCUCAAGCCCAGCUUUGCCUCACAGAGCCCACCUACCCUGCGACUCUCCUUCUCAGCUCCUUCAGACUAGUGGUAGCAGCAAUUAGCAAACAUCUGGUGGAACUGCGCAUUUGCUGAGCGCUUUAUAUGACCUACUUCUCAGUUAUGCCGCCCCAAACACAGUGCCACUCUGCAGGACCCACAACAGGCAGGAUGCCACAGACAUAAAUAGCCAACAGUUGAAGCAGCAGUCAUCAGGGUUGUGACCGUAAACAAAAGGUAAUGGGAUGUUGCUGAUUGCUGAUUGAAGUGGCCUUUACCAGACUGACAUCCAAUCAUGCCUGGUGGAUAAUUGGUUGAAAGGGCCGUCAACAAACAUUUUUCAUUUAGAUAGAAAAUAAGGAAAAGAAGCAACUGCCUCACAAAAAAGAAUCCAAGACAAAAAGCAGGAAGCGGUGAGUGUGCUAAGGAAAUCUUGGACCUGUCAGAUUCUCUACAUCUGUGCAGCCCAGAGUUCAUAUUGACAUUGCUUCCUCUGCAGUUCUUUGUGUUAUUGACUAUUCUGAAGACCUACUCAAUUUCCCAAUAGGUCAGCAUGAAAGCCCUUCAGUGUCUUUAUCUGUGGAGGUUUACAUCAAUAUAGAGAUUAUGCUGCUUUUUUGUAGCCUUAAUUAUUAUCUUCAUGUAUAUCUAUGACUAUAGAAGCGGUUAUUGAUCCGGUGGUAUUGCAUAGAUACAGUCAAUAAUCCGAUUCACUUUAUUUUCCAUACAUUUUACCCUCCAUUUGUAGUUCAGAUGUGUAUUGAUUUCUGCAUUGAACAGAGAAUGCUUUGUGUGUUUUGUGAUUCUGUGUUCUCACAAGGUUUCUCUACUUAGAAAUGGCAAAACACUAAUAUAUGACGCACAUAACGCACUUUUGUUUGUUCAAGUAAUUUUGUUUAGUAGUUGGAUUAAAGAUAGGUUUAUACAACAUUCUCCACAAUUAUUGUGUGCUUGGUAAACAUGAAUAAAAACCCCUAAAAUAAAAGAAGUAGCA